rnacentral:lncRNA from 1 species
CAGGUGGUAGGUGAUAGUGUCCUUUGAUAAUGGCAUCUUGUUCAUCAGCUGUGUAUCUUAUUCAUCAGCUGUGUUUCAGGGUGCCCCCCUACCUUUGAGUCUAAAACAAGGGCAGCUUUACACAAUUACUGCCUAGCCUUUCAAGGUCCCUGUUUCACUUCUGGUUUCAGUGAGACCCAUCAAGGAUGAUAAUUCCAGAUUAACCACUUAGCCACUGUGGGUUACCAUUGUAGGGCAUCUAGUCCAGUGAAAUAGCUUUACAACCAGGUUUGGAGAAAAUUAUUGUUUUCCAGUGCUUUCCCUAUCAAGUGAAAAAGGAUGUGGCACCCAGAUCUCUGUCUCAGAAACUUAUCGUAGCAAAUUAACAUCCAAGGUAUACUACAGAUUUAAAUUAAAAAAUUUAGAGCUAUAUUGGACACAAGCCUCUAGCAAUUAAAGAUUUACCUGAUGACUGUAACAGUAAGUUAUCCUUAUAUUCCCAGAUUAUUUUGUUCUUUUCGAUUCUU